rnacentral:lncRNA from 1 species
GCCCUCAGCGUCAUGGUGGUAUGUAACCAACCCUGCCGAUGACAGCCCUCGCACUCGGGGCUCGUGCACGACGCCUUUAUGUGGAAGACAUCUACCGUGAGCCAGGACAGGGCAGUGGACGCCGUCGCCAGGUGAUAGUGCAUACUCUCUUCAACCUUGGCUGCUUAACCCCAUCCCUG